CCCAACGAGAUCGGGAUAACACCUGGAAACAGAUGCUAAUACCGGAUAACAACAGAUGAUGCCUAUCAACUGUUUAAAAGAUGGUUCUGCUAUCACUCUUGGAUGGACCUGCGGUGCAUUAGCUAGUUGGUAGGGUAACGGCCUGCCAAGGCGAUGAUGCAUAGCCGAGUUGAGAGACUGAUCGGCCACAUUGGGACUGAGACACGGCCCAAACUCCUACGGGAGGCAGCAGAC
rnacentral:rRNA from 1 species